UACUAGAAGUAGCACUCGCAUAUCAAUAAGCGGAGGAAAAGAAACUAACAAGGAUUCCCCUAGUAACGGCGAGUGAAGCGGGAAGAGCUCAAAUUUGAAAUCUUAAAGGGUUUCCCUUUACGAAUUGUAGUUUAAAGAAGUGUUUUCUGUUGAGGUUUUGGUAAAAGUUCUUUGGAAUAGGACAUCAUAGAGGGUGAGAAUCCCGUAUUUGACCUUUACUUUCAACUUUGUGAUACACUUUCAAAGAGUCGGAUUGUUUGGGAAUGCAGUCCAAAAUGGGUGGUAAAUUUCAUCUAAAGCUAAAUAUUGGCGAGAGACCGAUAGCGAACAAGUACCGUGAGGGAAAGAUGAAAAGAACUUUGAAAAGAGAGUUAAACAGUACGCUGAAAUUGUCAAAAGGGAAGCGUUUGACACCAGUGUUGUUUUUCUGAAAAUCAAUUAAAGAACUGUUUAUGCUAAGUUGUUUAGACUUUAUCAGCUAACUGUUUAGUUUUGAGCUUUUCUUUAAUGCACCUUUCAGUUAACAAGUCAACAUCAAUUUCUUUUGCUGUAAAAAAGCUUGAGGAGGGUGGCUUGAGAUUCGUCUUAAGUGUUUAUAGCCUCUUGCCUAUGCAGUCGGAGAGAUUGAGGUCUGCAGCGUAGAUCCUUCGGGGCUAAAUGCAUUUGUGCUAAGUUAUAGCAUUUUAUAGACAACUUGUUGACUAUGAUUUGUCUUGUAGCUUACUCGCCUAUGUUAUUUUACCUACGCUUAGGAUGUUGAGCGCAUGUCUCUCUCU
rnacentral:rRNA from 1 species